GUGCUCACUUGGGCAGCACAUAUAUGAAAAUUGGAAUAAGACAGAAAAUUAACAUGGCCUCUGCCCAAGGAUAACAUGCAAAUUUGUGUAGCGUUCGAUAUUUUU
rnacentral:snRNA from 2 species